GAUGAAGAACGCAGUGAAAUGCGAUAAGUAGUGUGAAUUGCAGAAUUCAGUGAAUCAUCGAAUCUUUGAACGCACAUUGCGCCCGCCAGUAUUCUGGCGGGCAUGCCUGUUCGAGCGUCAUUUCAACCAUCAAGCCCCCGGCUUGUGUUGGGGACCUGCGGCUGCCGCAGGCCCUGAAAACCAGUGGCGGGCUCGCUAGUCACUCCGAGCGUAGUAAUACAUCUCGCUCAGGGCGUGCUGCGGGUUCCGGCCGUUAAAAAGCCUUAUUUACCCAAGGUUGACCUCGGAUCAGGUAGGAAGACCCGCUGAACUUAAGCAUAUCAAUAAGCGGAGGA
rnacentral:misc_RNA from 1 species